GAUGAACGCUGGCGGCGUGCCUAAUACAUGCAAGUCGAGCGAACAGAUAAGGAGCUUGCUCCUUUGACGUUAGCGGCGGACGGGUGAGUAACACGUGGGUAACCUACCUAUAAGACUGGGAUAACUUCGGGAAACCGGAGCUAAUACCGGAUAAUAUUUCGAACCGCAUGGUUCGAUAGUGAAAGAUGGUUUUGCUAUCACUUAUAGAUGGACCCGCGCCGUAUUAGCUAGUUGGUAAGGUAACGGCUUACCAAGGCGACGAUACGUAGCCGACCUGAGAGGGUGAUCGGGCACACUGGAACUGAGACACGGUCCAGACUCCUACGGGAGGCAGCAGUAGGGAAUCUUGCGCAAUGGGCGAAAGCCUGACGGAGCAACGCCGCGUGAGUGAUGAAGGUCUUCGGAUCGUAAAACUCUGUUAUUAGGGAAGAACAUACGUGUAAGUAACUGUGCACGUCUUGACGGUACCUAAUCAGAAAGCCACGGCUAACUACGUG
rnacentral:rRNA from 1 species